ACAUUGGAUUAGUUUUAUUGUUUGAAAUUUUUCAAUAGAAUUUGUUUUUCUUUUUUAUUUAACUUUCAAGGUUUGUUCAAGGUCUUUAUUAACCCUUUGACAUUGUGCUGUCCUUUUUAUAGAAGAGAAAAUGGAAAGUGUUUUUACUCCUUCCCAUGUUUCUUCUGCUGUUGGUAGGAUGAAAUCUCUUGGUAAAAUGAAACCAUGUUCACCUUUAUCUCGCAAUUCAACGAUAAAACUGUAUUUAAUUCCGGCCCUUUUGUAUAUCCAAUCUGGAGAUGAUCCUGAACAAGGGUAGAUUGUUGUUGCCAUCGGUCCAAAUCGCUCAUCAUGAUCUGGAGAUUGUUGAAUUGUGAAAGCAUGAGGUAUCAUCCAUAAUUCUUGACUUUCUUUUUCGCUAAAAGCUUUGUCACCUUUAAACAUAUCGGAACAUGGAUUGGAACUGGAUGAAUAUCCGCCAAAAUCAAUGUCAAAAUUACGAUUUGGAUCAGCACCUAAAUAUUGAAAUACAGUAAAGUUCAUUAGAUUCCAUGGAAGACGAAUUGGUAGGGCUUUUGGAACAGCUCGAUUUUUCCUCCAUAAUCUAUUUGAUCCCCAUGUGUACAAAUAUCCGUCCGGAUUAAGUAUCGGAACAAUAUACCAAUCAAAUUUCUCAACUAACUCCUGAAUUUUGGUUCAGUUUCAUGUUUCUCUGUUAAUUUGUAAAUCAUGUAAACGGCGGUCGCCGGAGCGAUCCAUUCUCUUGCGUGAAUUCCUGCAUCAAUCCAAAUGGCUGGUUUAGUUUCAUUGGAUUUCUUCCCAAUCUACUUGGAGAAAAAAAGACACAAAAUUACCCGCAAAAAAAUCCUUCAAUUGUUUGUCAGCAGAUUCACUCGGUAUUUAAAUUACAUAAUUUCUCAUUCAAAUUCCUGCAAUUAGUGAUUUAAAGAGUAGAGAGAUCCCAUAGAAAAUGUGUGGUAAUAAUCUAGACGAAAAUCAGAUGAAUGGAAUCGACCUGGUGUAUAGGCAUUCUUAUAGUCCAUGUCAUUUUCUAAUCGUUCACGUUCAAUCCAUUUUUGGAGAUCAUUGGUGACCACAUAGUAAUUUGAAUUGGUCGAAUUAAGGAAAUUGUCAACUUUGGAUUGGAAGAUUGGAUCAACUCGGAAGGUCAAUUUAUUGUUGAACAUUGAAGGUUCACUCCAAACAUCAAUCUCGAUGGAUUCUCGUAAAUCGUUGAAUAGAGAGUUGAAUGUCUCAUUUGGUUGAGUAUCAACUGAAUAUAAUCUAUGAUUAACAAAUGUUUUCAACUGUUGAUUAUCACAAUUAACUUGCUGAUGGAUUAAACUAACGAUAAUCAAUUCGAUUAUCAAAGUCAAGAUUGAAGUGUUUUCUUAAUUGGAUUAAAUUUGUUUCUCUUUACUUUCCAAUCGAUUCCUGGAUUCUAUUGGAUUAUUAUCAACAAUUGGUGCGAUUUUUACUCAAUGGAACUAAAUGAUGACCAAAGGUCUCGAGAAUA